ensembl:lncRNA
UGGAACUGUGUAACCAUCAUCACAAUCCAAUUUUAGAACAUUUACAUCAGUUCAAAUCAAUCCCUCAUGCCCAUUGGCUGGAGCCCAUUCCUACCUCCACCUCUGUCAACCACUAAUCCACCUGUGUCCAGAGAUUUGCCUUUCUGGACAUUUCCUAGAAAUGGAUCAUCACAAAAUGUUUUAAUUUUGAUGAAGUCUAACAGCAUGAUUUGCACCUUGCUCUAUGAUCUGUUUUCAAUUUUUCUGGCGUAUAAUGUGAGCAAACAAAUUAAAGGUAUAAAAACUGAGAAGCGAUGGAGCAGCAGGUGGAAGAAAGGAGGCGAGGAACCUGCAAGUAUAAUCAUAUAAACAUCAAGAUUGCUUGAUGUGAAAAUAGAUAAUGCUUCUACUUUCUUAUGAUCAGGAAAAAUAACCCAGGACGAUAAAAAGGAUCCGAAGACUCGGCUACUUAAGGUAACCACUGGAGAGGCUGGCGGUCGAGUCCAAGGAGGUGCCACAGAGAAACCGCACUGCAGUGUUCACCCAGCCAACCCAAGACCAUCAAUCAACCCCAAAGACAGAAAGAUGACCAAGGAGACUCGAGAAUUUGAAGAAGUUAACCCCAGGAAUCUUGGCCCUGCCAUGCCAUGACCUCUCAGGUACAGAACUCAAGCUGGAAGUAGCAGCAGGAGAGGGCUGUGGAGAGAUUCUACUGCUCCAGUAAACUAAUUCCAAAGAGAAAAAAGAUUCCCUUCCAGUGUUAUUGUGAAAACUCUUCUGGAAGGACUCAGAUGGGCCCAGCCUGGAUCUCCCAUACCUACUGAUUAGAUCCACCCUACAGAAAAGAAAGGAGAAACAUAGAGAAAAAUACAGAGUUCAUUUACUCUGUAGUUAAUGCUCUGUCUGCUAGGUAUCAAAAUUUCUAGGUAAGAUUGAUGGUAAGUUAAAGAAAUUUACAAAAAAUAAAACUUUCUUUUGGUCUGAUUCCAACAUUGCUAGUACAUUACACAGUAUAUUCUCUUGAUUUUUCCUAAAUUUAUUUCAUAAAUUUGAAAUGAUUGGCUGUUCUUGAGUCAUAAGCCCACCCCAAGACAAGGUAGAGAAAUGAUUGACAACUCCACAAAAUUUGAUUGGUGCAAGGGAGGAGCAAUUACCUAAAGGAAGAGAUAACAUUCUUUCCAAAAGAGGAGAAAAGAUGUUGGGCAGAGUCAAGACCAUAGAUGUCCUUAAUGAUCUCUGUGCUCUCUUAAGGAUCAGCUUGGGUGUCAUUUCUUGAUACCCCCUACCCCCUCAGUUCAGUUCAGCUCAGUUCAGUCCUUCAGUUGUGUCCGACUCUUUGCGACCCCAUGGACUGCAGCAGGCCAGCCUUCCCUGUCCUUCACCAACUCUGGGAGCUUACUCAAACUCAUGUCCAUCAAGUCGGUGAUGCCAUCCAACCAUCUCAUCUUCUAUUGUCCCCUUUUUGUCCUGCCUUCAAUUUUUCCCAG